rnacentral:rRNA from 1 species
GACGAACGCUGGCGGCAUGCCUAAUACAUGCAAGUCGAGCGAACAGAUGAAGUGCUUGCACUUCUGACGUUAGCGGCGAACGGGUGAGUAACACGUAAGGAAUCUACCUAUAAGCGGGGGAUAACAUUCGGAAACGGGUGCUAAUACCGCAUAAUAUCUUCUUCCGCAUGGAAGAAGAUUGAAAGACGGCUCUGCUGUCACUUAUAGAUGACCUUGCGGUGCAUUAGUUAGUUGGUGGGGUAACGGCCUUCCAAGACGAUGAUGCAUAGCCGACCUGAGAGGGUGAUCGGCCACAUUGGGACGGAGACACGGCCCAAACUCCUACGGGAGGCAGCAGUAGGGAAUCUUCCGCAAUGGGCGAAAGCCUGACGGAGCAAUGCCGCGUGAGUGAAGAAGGCCUUCGGGUCGUAAAACUCUGUUAUAAGAGAAGAACAAAUUGUAGAGUAACUGCUACAGUCUUGACGGUAUCUUAUCAGAAAGCCACGGCUAACUACGUGCCAGCCGCCGCGGUAA